GAUGAACGCUGGCGGCGUGCCUAAUACAUGCAAGUCGAGCGAACAGAUGAGGAGCUUGCUCCUCUGACGUUAGCGGCGGACGGGUGAGUAACACGUGGAUAACCUACCUAUAAGACUGGGAUAACUUCGGGAAACCGGAGCUAAUACCGGAUAAUAUAUUGAACCGCAUGAUUCAAUAGUGAAAGACGGUUUUGCUGUCACUUAUAGAUGGAUCCGCGCCGCAUUAGCUAGUUGGUAAGGUAACGGCUUACCAAGGCAACGAUGCGUAGCCGACCUGAGAGGGUGAUCGGCCACACUGGAACUGAGACACGGUCCAGACUCCUACGGGAGGCAGCAGUAGGGAAUCUUCCGCAAUGGGCGAAAGCCUGACGGAGCAACGCCGCGUGAGUGAUGAAGGUCUUCGGAUCGUAAAACUCUGUUAUUAGGGAAGAACAAAUGUGUAAGUAACUAUGCACGUCUUGACGGUACCUAAUCAGAAAGCCACGGCUAACUACGUG
rnacentral:rRNA from 1 species